GACGGUACCGUAAGAAUAAGCACCGGCUAACUACGUGCCAGCAGCCGCGGUAAUACGUAGGGUGCAAGCGUUAAUCGGAAUUACUGGGCGUAAAGCGUGCGCAGGCGGUUUUGUAAGACAGAGGUGAAAUCCCCGGGCUCAACCUGGGAACUGCCUUUGUGACUGCAAGGCUGGAGUACGGCAGAGGGGGAUGGAAUUCCGCGUGUAGCAGUGAAAUGCGUAGAUAUGCGGAGGAACACCGAUGGCGAAGGCAAUCCCCUGGGCCUGUACUGACGCUCAUGCACGAAAGCGUGGGGAGCAAACAGGAUUAGAUACCCUGGUAGUCCACGCCCUAAACGAUGUCAACUGGUUGUUGGGUCUUCACUGACUCAGUAACGAAGCUAACGCGUGAAGUUGACCGCCUGGGGAGUACGGCCGCAAGGUUGAAACUCAAA
rnacentral:rRNA from 1 species